rnacentral:lncRNA from 1 species
AAUAAUUACAAGAAUAUAUCGUAAAUCUAUACGGAUGUCCUUCGACUGCUCGUCAAAACCCUUUUUGCCCCAGCCGGUAGGUCUCUAGAUGUUACAAAGAACCCCGAAAAAUCCAACUGCUAAUCUUCGAUACCACUUUAUACUCAGGAUCUUGUAUCUACUAACUGUCUUGUUAGAUUAAUCCAAAAAUUUUCAUUCACUCCGCAUACUCAAU